UGCUUGCACCUUUCAAGCGAGUGGCGAACGGGUGAGUAACACGUGGAUAACCUGCCUCAAGGCUGGGGAUAACAUUUGGAAACAGAUGCUAAUACCGAAUAAAACUUAGUAUCGCAUGAUACAAAGUUGAAAGGCGCUACGGCGUCACCUAGAGAUGGGUCCGCGGUGCAUUAGUUAGUUGGUGGGGUAAAGGCCUACCAAGACAAUGAUGCAUAGCCGAGUUGAGAGACUGAUCGGCCACAUUGGGACUGAGACACGGCCCAAACUCCUACGGGAGGCUGCAGUAGGGAAUCUUCCACAAUGGGCGAAAGCCUGAUGGAGCAACGCCGCGUGUGUGAUGAAGGCUUUAGGGUCGUAAAGCACUGUUGUAUGGGAAGAAAUGCUAGAAUAGGGAAUGAUUCUAGUUCGACGGUACCAUACCAGAAAGGGACGGCUAAAUACGUGCCAGCAGCCGCGGUAAUACGUAUGUCCCGAGCGUUAUCCGGAUUUAUUGGGCGUAAAGCGAGCGCAGACGGUUGAUUAAGUCUGAUGUGAAAGCCCGGAGCUCAACUCCGGAAUGGCAUUGGAAACUGGUUAACUUGAGUGUUGUAGAGGUAAGUGGAACUCCAUGGGUAAA
rnacentral:rRNA from 1 species